rnacentral:lncRNA from 1 species
UUUUUUUUUUUUUUUUUUUUGGCUGCACCCUUGGCAUUCAGAAGUUCCACUUCUUGGGCCAGGGAUCAAACCCACAUCACAGCAGUGACAAUUCCAGAUCUUUAACCCACUGUACCACCAGGGAACUCCCUACAAUGGGUAAUUUUUACUUUCUUUCUCUCAUGCCAAUCUGGGACAAAUUAUCUCUCUAAAAGGUCUAAGCUCUUACUUUUGUAUUCCUCAUCUAUACAAAUCCUGUAAAUAGGAGUAGUUUUGCAACACUCACACUUAACCUUCUGACAGUACUUAUCUGAAAAUUUAUCUGACACCUUAUAAGAUGUUUUACUGUAAAAAACUGUAAUUAAUGCUUCACACAUUUUUUAUUUUUAAAAGUGUGAAAUCUGCAUUUGUGUUUGAAAUUGUGGUUCAAUUGCUUGUAUUUAUAUUUUACUUAAGUAGAGUUAAUUGGUUUGGAUUAUACUCAUUAGAAAUUAGUCCAAAAGACAGUGUGCCUGACUAAAUGUUCUAUAGAAUUCACCCUUCUUAUUUAACUCCACUCUAGAGAAAGCUGUCUCAAAAGUUUUCUUCAUGCAAUAUUACUAAGCCAUAAAAAGAAAUAAAGUUCCAAUAUAUGCUGUAAUAUGGAUGAACUUUGAAAAUAUCAUGCCAAGUGAAGGAAGCCACACACUAAAGGACAAUAUUGUGUAAGUUCGCUUAUUUGAGGUACCUAGAAUAGUCAAAUUCACAGAAACAGAGAGGAGAAUAGUGGUUAGCAGAUGCUCAGGGGAUGGAGAAUGGGGAUUUAUUGUUUAACAGGAACAGAAUUUCAGUCUGGGAAGAUGAAAAAGAUCUGGAAAUGGAUAGUAGGUGAUGGCUGCGCAAACAAUGUGUACUUAAUGUGACUGAAAUUUAUACUUAAAAGGCUUAAAAGAGUAAACUCUGUGUUAGACUUAUUUUGUCAAAAAUUUUUAAAAAACCUUUUUCUCAUGGAUGCAACAUGACUCCUAAAGAGUAACUAAUCACACCUGUUAUGGCAUUUGGGUAGUGGAAUUCUAUUUACCUCAAACAGGGUUUGAGAAGUCUUUUAGGGGGGUAGAAUUCUCUAAAUUGAGCAACUGAAAGAAAAUUGUAAAACUGUCCUGAGAAUGGUAAGGUCUUCUGGGAAAAAAGAAAGCAGAUUCCCCAAUUCCCACUAUUUCACCUGAGGCUUGCCCAGCCAGGUUUGCCCUGGGCCAGCCAGCAGCCAGGAUGCCCUGAGUAUAAAAACAUGCCAGAGGUGUAGGAAACUGGUGCAGGCCAUUACCACUCUGCCCUGAGUAUAAAAACAUGCCAGAGGUGUAGGAAACUGGUGCAGGCCAUUACCACUCUGCCCUGGGCUAACUGCACACCAGCUUUCUAUCUGAAUGCUUGCCUCUGCCAACACUGAGAUAUUUCCGAACUCCUUCUAAUGAGAUCUGAACUCAAGUUUAGUCUCCCUAAGCCACGGCUCCUGGGCCUCACCCAGCUUGCCUUUCACUGUUGCUAUCUUAGCAGACCUGACUCCUGAUUUAGCCUUCCCACAUUCCAUCUGUCACCAGUUCUGCAGUUUCUUCCUCCACAUCUUUCUCUUCAUCCCUUUGAAUCCUGAUUCAAGCCCUGGCAAUCAUGUCCUAGGCCUUAUUACAUGGUUUUUGAGAGGGCAUGUCUUUGAAGAAUGAAUAAAGAGUGUUUCUAUGUGAGGCAGACCCAAGAUGUAAAUUAGCCAAAUUAACAUACUCUAAUUUGUGCAUAUAUAUAUAAAGAAGGGAAACUAAUAUCUAUAAAGUGUCUACAAUGUGCCAAAUAAUGUGCCAGUUAUUUUCAGACCUCCUAACAAGCUUAUAAGAGCAGGUGUUACAUUUAAUUAAUUUAUUUUUUGUCUUUUUAGGGCCACACCCACGGCAUAUAGAGGCUCCCAGGCUAGGGGUCCAAUCGGAGCUGUAGCUGCCGGCCUGCGCCACAGCCACAGCAACGCAGGAUCCGAGCCAUGUCUGCAACCUACACCACAGCUCAUGGCAAUGCUGAAUCCUUAACCCACCGAGGGAGGCCAGGGAUCGAACCCACAACCUCAUGGUUCCUAGUCAUAUUCGUUUCCCACUGCGCCAUAACGGUAACUCCUAUUUUAAAUUUUUUUACAGUUAUUUUUAAAUGAUAAUCUUAUUACAGAUACUGCUUUACUAUAGCUGGGCCUACUUUUCAGGAAGCACACUAGAUCCUAGUGUGAAAAUAUUAUAUAGAAAGAGUUCUCUCUGAAGUAAAUGCCAGCUUGGCUCGCUUUCAAUCAGUCCUCAAAUUUCCUCACUCCUGGGCACUUCUGUUCAGUCAGCCAAGUCCAGUCUUUUCUUGGUCAAUUCCUUCUUUACAUCCUGGCCUGCAUAAACCUGCUUUCACCUUGGUGCUCAUCACUGGUUCUGUACCUUUCCCGAGUAGAGUACAGAGAACCACCUGGGCUUGUUUCUAGCAACCAAGAGAUGUUUUUCUCGCCCCCCAGCCAUGUUUCUAGCUCACCAGUAUCCCAUUCCUUCCAGAUUAGAAUCAUCAGUUCUUUGGAAGUUAGAAGUUGCCCUAAAAUUCCUCUUCCAAGUGAUAUCGAUAUUUAGUCAUUGUUAGACUGUUAGCUGUGUACAGGUUCAUAUAGGAAAAAUUCCCCAUUUAAUAGAAAAAUAUACAUUUAGCUGAUAGUAUUAGUUUCCUUCCUUCAGUCCUGACCACUCUGUAAGGGACAGUGAAGCAGUAACAUUGGGUUUUAUCGCUACUCCCCAUCCCGUCAGGGAAAAGGCCCAGAGGCAAGGGAUAACACAAGUAUGGCGAACCCACCAAAAACAAAGCAGGCUGGCAACUCAUGUCAUGCUCCUCUUUUUUUUUUUUUUUAAACUAGCUCAAAAUUUAGCUAAGUCAAGAUCCUUUCUUGCUGCUGUCAGCAGUACACUUUUCCAGUAGGUGGCAGUAUUUUCUUUCUUCCCUUUAAGUAGAACUCUUAAUUUGCCUCAAGGUUUUGUUUUUGUUUUUUAGUUUUACUGUUCACUUGGUUACCUGAAGGAGACAAAAAAUAAGUUAACGAAACUGAUUUUUUUCCACUUUCUUAAAAAAAAAAUCACUCUUGGUGGCUUCCAAAAGCCCCAGGUGGAGAACUGCUUUGGCUGCGGUUGAUAUCAAGGUAUGUAUGGAGAUCUGACAUUCUCUAAAACUUCUCCCCAUUUCCUGAUAAAAGUUAUUAAUAGGGACUAGCUAGUGAGGGUGAUGUCUUGGAAAAAAUAUGUCAUACUUCUCUGCCUCUGUAAAACAAAAUUAAAAUAUUGACUCUAGAAUUCUUGCUUUUAGGGCACAAUAUUCAUUGAAUUAUGAAGAUACCUUUACUGGCUGGUUAAUAAUUAGCCAAAGAAAAUUAUUCACACACCCUAUCUUAAUGGUGACACCUAAAUUUUUGCAACUCCACAAUUCCUUUCAAUACCCCCGACAGAUGGUUAGGCACUGUUACAUGUCUGACAGGAACUAAACGGUGCAAAAACUAGGUUUGAGGAAGGAAGGAAGGAUUGAAAAUCUAGGGACAUAUGCUGGAGUUAAAGAAGGAAGUGUUAAUCAGUAGAAUAUCUCAGAUACUUUAUCUUAAAAAAAAAUCCGUAUUAGCAAAAAGGAAUGGAUAUAUAUGUAUAUAAAUACAUAUAAAUGUAUAUGUGUGAUUUACUUUGCUCUAUGCCUGAAAUUAACAACUUUUAAGUCAAGUAUACUCCAAUAAUUAAAAAAAAAAUACUAUAUUAACAAGAGCAGGGAGGGCCAGGUUUGAGGCAUGCGUUUCACUAAUUUCUCAGUACUCAUAAACAAAACCUCAAGGUGCUGGAGAAAUGCUCGAAAAUACGGAUAGCAAGGAUUUGGUUAUCAAGUCUACCUGUGAAUAAUCAAUUAAAGUUAGAAGACAAAGC